rnacentral:snoRNA from 1 species
AAGACUAUAUUUUCAGGGAUUAUUUCUAUAGUUUGUUACUAGAGAAGUUUCUCUGAUUGUGUAUGGUACCGGAAGCCAGGAGGAGGAGGUGCAGUGUGAAGCUGGCUCUUGGUGUUGCUUUAUUGCAACUGCCAUUUGCCAUUGAGGAUCAUUCUUACUCUCUAGAAGGAAAGUACACAAUCUGAGUGGU